rnacentral:lncRNA from 1 species
AUGACAGACACGAACUAUCAGCCUGUAGUUUCAGCCAAUUUGGUUAUUCCUCAUAGCCCCGAACGAGCAGGAGAAGACCAUGUAGUCAGUUGCUAGCAACGUAUAUCAAAGGAAAUAUUAUGUGACACUACGUAUGGUGAUGAAGACUUUUCCAAGAACACAAACCCACUGAGAGUGACCGAGGUAGUUGUAAAGUACUCGAGGAGAGUUUACAUAAGAUUCUUGUGAAGUAUGUUGAAACACGGUGGCGUAGAGAUGCUCUUCU